CAAAAAAAAGUACAAACAAAAUCACCGAACACAAGCAAGACGAGAAAAUUAAUGUAAUUUGUUUUAUCUUAAAGUUUUACUCGAUUUUUUACGAAUCAAGUAAUCCCUUUUUAUUUUUUCAAUUUACAUGCGUAUAUUUUUACACAUUUUCAUUUAACAUUUCUCUGAAAAGUACGUGGUAUUCAACAUGAACCAAUAUGCAACAGAACGAAGGCUGACCUGGUUGUAUGGCCUAUUGGCCUUAUUUUUAACGGUGUCAGUAGUAUGCCUGGCGAUUCCCUACAACCACUGGCGGAUUACGUUAGACACAUGCCCGUCGAUAGCACUAGAGAAUAAUAAUUGUGGUUGCAUCUUAUUUGGUGUGAGCACUUCACAAUAUUUCAAUGGGGGCCAUUCAUCCUCUUGCUUGUAUGCAAUAUUUGCUCCCUUGCCCAUCAUUGUGUAUGCUAUAAUAAUGGCUCUAUUCCACAUGUAUAGAGUUUGCAUUAAUAAUGUGGGCAUGUAUGAGGAUGAGAAAUCAACUACUGUGGAAGAAAUUGAAGGAGAGUCCAUAGUAGCAACAUCCAGGGCUAGGAUAAGCCACCACAAUGACGCAGUGAUAUAUUGCUGGAUACCAACCUCUUGUAUUGC